UACGUAGGGAGCAAGCGUUGUUCGGAUUUACUGGGCGUAAAGGGCGCGUAGGCGGCAAAUUAAGUCAGCUGUGAAAUCUCCGAGCUUAACUCGGAACGGUCAGCUGAUACUGAUCUGCUAGAGUGCGGAAGGGGCAAUCGGAAUUCUUGGUGUAGCGGUGAAAUGCGUAGAUAUCAAGAGGAACACCUGAGGUGAAGACGGGUUGCUGGGCCGACACUGACGCUGAGUGCGCGAAAGCCAGGGGAGCGAACGGG
rnacentral:rRNA from 1 species